rnacentral:rRNA from 1 species
UACGAGGGGGGCAAGCGUUGUUCGGAAUUAUUGGGCGUAAAGGGCGCGUAGGCGGUUUUACAAGUCUGAUGUGAAAUCUCUGGGCUCAACCCAGAGUCUGCAUUAGAAACUGCCGGGCUUGAGUAUGGGAGAGGUGAGUGGAAUUUCCGGUGUAGCGGUGAAAUGCGUAGAUAUCGGAAGGAACACCUGUGGCGAAAGCGGCUCACUGGACCAUAACUGACGCUGAGGCGCGAAAGCUAGGGGAGCAAACAGG